AUUGAACGCUGGCGGCAGGCCUAACACAUGCAAGUCGAGCGGAUGAAGGGAGCUUGCUCCUGGAUUCAGCGGCGGACGGGUGAGUAAUGCCUAGGAAUCUGCCUGGUAGUGGGGGAUAACGUCCGGAAACGGGCGCUAAUACCGCAUACGUCCUGAGGGAGAAAGUGUGGGAUCUUCGGACCUCACGCUAUCAGAUGAGCCUAGGUCGGAUUAGCUAGUUGGUGGGGUAAAGGCCUACCAAGGCGACGAUCCGUAACUGGUCUGAGAGGAUGAUCAGUCACACUGGAACUGAGACACGGUCCAGACUCCUACGGGAGGCAGCAGUGGGGAAUAUUGGACAAUGGGCGAAAGCCUGAUCCAGCCAUGCCGCGUGUGUGAAGAAGGUCUUCGGAUUGUAAAGCACUUUAAGUUGGGAGGAAGGGCAGUAAGCUAAUACCUUGCUGUUUUGACGUUACCAACAGAAUAAGCACCGGCUAACCUCGUG
rnacentral:rRNA from 1 species